rnacentral:lncRNA from 1 species
AAUUUCAUGAGCAUUGGACAAGAAUCAAGCAUUUCACAAAUGAUAUAGCAAGGCAAGGUACAAAACGGAUACAUGCUCAAUCAUCCUAGCACAAAAUGAAAUCCAGCCAAGCACAAUUUAUGGAAAAAUGAUUAAAAAAAAUAGACAAAAUAAGGAAUGCAAUGCAAAAAACCUCAUAAUUUUUGGAUGAUUUUUCAAUUAUAUAUGAAAUUUUAAAGAUGAUGAAAAAA